UCUUGAUAAUUUGGAAGUGUCACAUUGGCAGGGUACCAUAUUCUACCUACUUUAUUUUGCUUUAGUUAAUGAUAUGCUUCUGCUAAAGCAUUCGUGGCAUGCUGUUACCAUAGUAAUUUUGCAGAAGCAUUUAAUUUUUUUU